CAUGUACCUGCUGAGCUGGCUGUCGCUCUUCAUCCAGGUGGCCUUCAUCACGCUGGCUGUCGCGGCUGGACUCUAUUACCUGGCAGAACUGAUAGAAGAAUACACAGUGGCCACCAGCAGGAUCAUAAAAUACAUGAUCUGGUCCUAGCUACUCGGGAGGCUGAGGCAGGAAAAUCGCUUGAACCCGGGAGAAGAAGGAUGCAGUGAGCAGAGAUCGUGCCAUUGCACUUCAGCCUGGCGACAGAGCAAGACUCCGUCUCAAAAAGAAAAAAAAAAAGUGAUCAUUUUCAUGAAUGCUGCCUCUAAGGUCCCUCCUGCUGACAAUGGCCAGGGCAGUGCGGAGGCUCCUCUUUGGAAAUUGUCUUCAGAGCUGAUGCAGACUCUUUUGAAAGCAGCCACAGACAUUGGGGAUGGAGUCUGGUG
rnacentral:lncRNA from 1 species